rnacentral:lncRNA from 1 species
GAGAAAAGGCUCCACCCCUCCACUCAUAUAGAGAACGUUUAUACCCAGAGUAUCUAGCGAAGAACCACUUCUAGGAGAGGAAUUGAAUCCUAUCCACUAGAAGCCCGACUUCCACCGGUUUUCGCCGCAAAAAUAAAAUCAUUGUGGGCAUUCCAGAGGGUCCAUAGAGUUGAAUGUCAGAUCAAAUUAAGACAACGCCUAAUCCUAGCACUCCCAUCUAAAGACAGAAACAACUGAAAAAUACCAAGCACGCUCUCCGGAAAAACCUACUCCCAACCCAGCCACCAACAAACACUAUACCAUAUCCUAGAAGCAAUUGAACAAAGAACAAAAAUAUUAUCUAUCGAUUCUUUCCCUCCCUCACAGAGACCACAUAACAAAGUAGUCGGGUCCUAGACAGGGAUAACCCCGGAGGAAAAGAGAUUUUUUUUUGGUUGAAAGACGAUUGAGAAGUAACUUCGAAGCAAAAACCUGAAGCAUGGACGGGGUCCAACUCUUCCAAGACAAAGAUAAUGCAAUCACCACCUCCACGAGCCUCUCACCUUCCAACAAAAAUGGCUUAGCCAACACUACAUAUGAUGACCUAACCACCUACUAGUAAUCUGGGUUGAUGUUGUUAGGAUGAUAAUAGAGUGUUAUACUCAUUAAUCCUUUUCCAAAUCUCUUCCUUCUUAUUGG